GAUGAACGCUGGCGGCGUGCCUAAUACAUGCAAGUAGAACGCUGAAGCUUGGUGCUUGCACCGAGCGGAUGAGUUGCGAACGGGUGAGUAACGCGUAGGUAACCUGCCUCUUAGCGGGGGAUAACUAUUGGAAACGAUAGCUAAUACCGCAUAAAAGUCGAUAUCGCAUGAUAUUGAUUUGAAAGGUGCAAAUGCAUCACUAAGAGAUGGACCUGCGUUGUAUUAGCUAGUUGGUGAGGUAACGGCUCACCAAGGCGACGAUACAUAGCCGACCUGAGGGGGUGAUCGGCCACACUGGGACUGAGACACGGCCCAGACUCCUACGGGAGGCAGCAGUAGGGAAUCUUCGGCAAUGGGGGCAACCCUGACCGAGCAACGCCGCGUGAGUGAAGAAGGUUUUCGGAUCGUAAAGCUCUGUUGUAAGAGAAGAACGAGUGUGAGAGUGGAAAGUUCACACUGUGACGGUAACUUACCAGAAAGAGACGGCUAACUACGUG
rnacentral:rRNA from 1 species